rnacentral:rRNA from 1 species
AACGAACGCUGGCGGCAGGCUUAACACAUGCAAGUCGAGCGCCCCGCAAGGGGAGCGGCAGACGGGUGAGUAACGCGUGGGAAUCUACCCAUCUCUACGGAAUAACGCAUGGAAACGUGUGCUAAUACCGUAUACGUCCUUCGGGAGAAAGAUUUAUCGGAGAUGGAUGAGCCCGCGUUGGAUUAGCUAGUUGGUGGGGUAAAGGCCUACCAAGGCGACGAUCCAUAGCUGGUCUGAGAGGAUGAUCAGCCACACUGGGACUGAGACACGGCCCAGACUCCUACGGGAGGCAGCAGUGGGGAAUAUUGGACAAUGGGCGCAAGCCUGAUCCAGCCAUGCCGCGUGAGUGAUGAAGGCCCUAGGGUUGUAAAGCUCUUUCCCCGGUGAAGAUAAUGGCGGUAACCGGGGAAGAAGCCCCGGCUAACUUCGUGCCAGCAGCCGCCGUAACAC